CAGCAUAAGAGAGAUGCCCUUCCGGUGGCGAUGCAGAUCGAGGCGAAGCGGCCGAUCGAUAGGGAUCCUCUCAGACGCGCCAAGCAGAGGCGAUUCAUCGCAGCUGAUGUGGCAGGUCAAGGCGAAGCGUCGCUGCGACCGCCGCUGUCGAUUGAAGUCUCUCCGGCCUCCGCUGAAAUUAAUGGAGGUCAGUUUCUGUUUCGCCAGCCUUUGAGUUUGUGCACAUGUAUAUAUGUUCGUCGCCUGCGCUCUCCCAUCUCACUUCAUAUUCCGGCAGCAUCACGUGGAGCACCUAUGCUUAUCGGUUAGGUUUCCUAUAUCUUCAUCUUUGAUGCAAAUUCCCCUCCUCUUCCCCCUCCCCUACAAUCCCCUCUUCAACCCUAUGAUUUCACUGUGUUAAUGUCUUUCCCAAUCACAGUUUUCAACAGAUAGUGGUCAACCAAUAUUGGAAAAUUUUGUAGGCUUAUAUAUUGCUCCAUGGAAUUCUUAACCUCAAAAUUUGCGAUGGCUGCCAGCCAGAUAAUUAGUUCCAGUGUACUGCCAUAUCUCAUAUGUUCAUGCUUUGUUAUCCAUAAAUUUAGGGCAUUUAAUGUCAUUCAUGGCAUGGUAUUCCUUUUACUGUAUACGAUAGGUUUCUUAGAACAAUAUAGUGAAAUGCAAAAAAGAGUGUAAUCAAUCUGUCCUAGAUGGAGGCAAAACCAGAACAUGUUCUGGUUCUGUCCAUAUGUGAUCAUAUUUAACAUACGACAAGUUGCAUUGUUCUUGUUGCUAGAGCUUUCAAGAGGUGACACAGGCCCUGCAGCACUACAGAUUGUGCAACCGUCUUAGAUGGCCACUAUAGCUCAGGGCCUCAUUGGCAGUUCACAAAGAGCAAUAGCUUCUCAUCCAUUAGUGUUGCUGAAAGAGCAUGAACCUUGCCCAUCUUUUUUUAGGCUUAAGGGUUAAGGCAGGCGCUCUCUCUGCCACUCGAUUAGAUUAGUAAGCAAAAUUAUUUACAUGGGGAUCAGAAAGGAGAUCAGAGAAAAGAAAAGGUCGAGGCCAAGGGCCAGCAAAAAAAGAUCACACAUACAGAGGUUUCUUCUCCUUUUAAGAUCGAUUGCCAGCUUCUUAGCUCUCUUAUAAUAUUGUGAACUGGUAAUAUCUCGCUCAACACCAAUAUUUUGUGUUGUCCAGUGUUCAGCAUUGCAGGGAAUAAUGAACUUGAGAAGGCUGAGCAGCAACCGGCAGUUAAAGCUCUCAAAGAUAGGCUGAUAACAAAGAUUAUUAUUGUUCCUUCAAUUUACUUGCUUCGUCUUUAGUAGCUUUACUAGCUCUUUAUUGUUUUGGUUGUUAAUAUGUUCUGUUAAAAAAUAUUGACCUUGUUUAUGCAGGUUAAAGAAAUUACAGAAAAAGCUUUGAAAAUCAUUAACAACUAGGCUUGACGCCAAAAGGGUAGGAUCCUUCACAAAAUAUCUCCUACUGGUUAGUGAGGUGAAGGAUGUGUUGUACUCUGAAGAAAUCGUCUUGGGGUCAACCACAUGCCAGACUCUGAUUGACGUUCAAAGUGGAGGACCUCCAGAACUAGGCCCAGCAAUUUGAAAGUUGAAACCUAAGACCUCACUUCACCGAAAAUAGCUUCAGCCCGGAGGAAGGCUGCGGGAUCAUCAGAAAUCCAAACGCAGUUAACAACUAACUCGACUCCAGUCGAUGAUGACAAUGUGAUAAACUACUACACCCUCAUGAAGGAAGUGUGACAGAAUCAUAACCAGGGACAUCCAGUUGGCAUCACAAUCCAUUUUGCAAGCCACAAAUGGCAGCUUAUGUGUGCUCAACUAUAAUACUGAGAUUGGUGUGCUGUUAUAUGAAUGUCUACUACCUUAAUAGAGUUUGUGAGAGUUUAUAACGUCUUGACAUUGUAUAAUCCUUAAUGGUUGUAAAGAGUUGUGUGUACUCAG